rnacentral:guide_RNA from 1 species
AGUGUAUAAUUGAUGGAGUUAGUGGUGUAGUAGGAU